rnacentral:misc_RNA from 1 species
GAGAGGGAGAGAGAGAGAGAGAUUGUAAGAUUAUGAACUAACUGAUGCUAAAAUAUUCACAAGCGUAUAAACAAAAAUUAAAUCACUAAUUGCACAGCACAAGAAUCAUGACAAUGAGGAUAGAAAUGUCGUUCUUUCCUAUGAAAAACGGCACAGUCAACACUAAGCAACCUGGAUACAAAACUACAAUCUCAUAUGAACAUGUUACAUUACAAGGGAAGCAUCUCUAGAAACAGAGCAGAUUGAACCAUAAUAAUCUACCUAUCUUUUUGGGGGGAAAAAUUCCAACAGUAAAAUAAAUUUCCUUGUCCUCUAUAUGCAAACAUGAAAAUGCAGCCAUGCACACCUAAAAUCAAAACAGUACUGUCACCAGUUCCAAAGAAGACUUUCAUUAAGACCAAGAGAUGACACAAAAUGGUGAGGUGCAUAUCUUUUAAAGAACAUGUAAAAUAAGUAGCCAAAAAUAGACAUUUGAUAAGUACCUCUGUCUCCAUUUUCAGGGAUG